UGGGGAAUAUUGGACAAUGGGCGCAAGCCUGAUCCAGCCAUACCGCGUGAGUGAAGAAGGCCCUCGGGUUGUAAAGCUCUUUUGUUGGGAAAGAAAUCCUGUUGAUUAAUACUUGACAGGGAUGACGGUACCCAAAGAAUAAGCACCGGCUAACUUCGUGCCAGCAGCCGCGGUAAUACGAAGGGUGCAAGCGUUACUCGGAAUUACUGGGCGUAAAGCGUGCGUAGGUGGUUGUUUAAGUCUGUCGUGAAAGCCCUGGGCUCAACCUGGGAAUUGCGAUGGAUACUGGGCAACUAGAGUGUGGUAGAGGGUGGCGGAAUUCCCGGUGUAGCAGUGAAAUGCGUAGAGAUCGGGAGGAACAUCCGUGGCGAAGGCGGCCACCUGGGCCAACACUGACACUGAGGCACGAAAGCGUGGGGAGCAAACA
rnacentral:rRNA from 1 species